GAUGAACGCUGGCGGCGUGCCUAAUACAUGCAAGUCGAGCGAACAGACGAGGAGCUUGCUCCUCUGACGUUAGCGGCGGACGGGUGAGUAACACGUGGAUAACCUACCUAUAAGACUGGGAUAACUUCGGGAAACCGGAGCUAAUACCGGAUAAUAUAUUGAACCGCAUGGUUCAAUAGUGAAAGACGGUUUUGCUGUCACUUAUAGAUGGAUCCGCGCCGCAUUAGCUAGUUGGUAAGGUAACGGCUUACCAAGGCAACGAUGCGUAGCCGACCUGAGAGGGUGAUCGGCCACACUGGAACUGAGACACGGUCCAGAGUCCUACGGGAGGCAGCAGUAGGGAACCGUCCGCAAUGGGCGAAAGCCUGACGGAGCAACGCCGCGUGAGUGAUGAAGGUCUUCGGAUCGUAAAACUCUGUUAUUAGGGAAGAACAAAUGUGUAAGUAACUAUGCACGUCUUGACGGUACCUAAUCAGAAAGCCACGGCUAACUACGUG
rnacentral:rRNA from 1 species